ACCAUUUCAAUACAGAUCUAAUACAUGCCUCAUUUUGAAAUAUGGUUUGGAAUUGAAAAAGGUAAGUCGAGAAAAUUUUUCCAAGAAAGAGACUGCAGAUUAUUGGGCGCUUUCAUUCAGGUAUAGAUAGGCUGGAAACUCUCUCACAAGGGAGCGUUUACAAAUUAAGUGACGUUCUAGGGAAGGGAGAGGGGAUAUAAACCUGCGUUACGCUGCGUUACCAAGUGGGAGACGGGUCGUGCUAGCAUUAAAUAACCCACUUUCUUAACGUUAUUUGUCACACUAUCAGUAAAAGUUCUUCAAAUUUACGUUUCGAUAAAAAAUUUACACGCGAGGAUGUUCCAUGUGUUUAAGUUUUAUCUGUGUGCAUCUUGGAAUGAUUAUUGAUUCGGAUAAGAAACCUCGUGUAAAGCGUUGUGACGUUGGAUUUUUCAGAAAUAUUUCAGGGCAUUGAAUUGUAAAGGACGUAAAGUUUAGAACCCGGAUAUUUUUUGGAGCUGUGGCAAAGUUUAUCGUUCCAACGGGUUUUUAAACCUGUAAUGUUUGCAGAGCACCGUUUUUGACUUUUUCAAUGGGCUCUGAUCUGAACUAUAAUGUUUCCACGUGUUUUAAACUCCACAGUUGUGCCGAGUUUGCUUGCACUUAUGUUGAGUCUACGCAGUCAAGCCCUCUCAAAUAGUGCUCAAACUACUAACGAUAGGACUCGUGGUUAUAUCAAUUCACUGGAGUUUUUUGAUGUAAAAAACUUCGAGGUUAGUUGCAAAGCCCUGACUUCAGCCAUUAAAUCUUUGUUAGAGCUGUUUGACGCAACGCGAUGGGAACAGUUAGACGCUCCACUGUAUGUGCUCCCUAAACUUCAGCAGCACAAAUUCCCGUACGUUACUUAUCAUCGCAAUAGUAGAUUAAAAUCUCGUAGAGGUGAGAUGCUACUUUCGUGCUCAUUAAAUUGGUCCGAGUUGAUGUAAUGAUCUACAGGGCAGACGGAGUUACCUUCGCCUUUAACCGUUGGCCACUCUCGGAGCUGCUAGAAUCCUUCAAGAAGAACUCGAAAAUAAACGAGACAGGGCUUUACUAUCGAAAAGACAGUCGGCUUAUUAAGCAUAAGGUACUUGGUGCAUUCGUCUUCAACCGAACCCAGCCCACUAGACGACACGGGAGCAAACUAUUGGGAUUCACCGCAACAUACCUCCUUGACACUUAUGACGUAAAUAGCGGUUUUGUAGAAUAUGCAACGUAUUAAGGCGAGGGG
rnacentral:lncRNA from 1 species